AUGUUCGAGUAUCUAAAUGUUGUCAGCAAGAUGUUUGAUAGUGAGGCUGAAGGCUAUGAAUUCUACAACAAAUAUGCUCUUGAAAAAGGUUUUAGUGUGAGGAAAAGCUACGUUGAGUGGGAUGGAUCCAACAAAUACAUAAUUUUAAGGAAAAUUGUGUGUAAUCGUCAAGGGCGCGAAGAGAAGCACAUGAAAAGAAAG
rnacentral:rRNA from 1 species